GUUUUAAUAAUUUAAAAAAAAUAUUAGUCUUGUAAACUAAAAAUAAAAAUUACUUUUAAAACA
rnacentral:tRNA from 1 species